rnacentral:sRNA from 1 species
AAUCUUUAUCAAUCCACACUACUGUGAAUAAUAAUUGUUGGCCACUCAAGAGAUUUAAAACCUCUCUUGAGGUGAGGGGUUGUACGAUUCCGUACAGUUCCUCAGUCGCUGUCGUACGUAUGUGUCGUACAUAUGUCGUGCAUACGUACGGCAGGCGUCGGUCUUAACUAACCAACCAACCAACACCAAACCUCAACCAACUUUAACCGAGUGUUCAGCUUAGAGCUGACCUCACCAACCAAGACAACUCUCAACAACGGAUAUCUUGGCUCUCAGAUCGAUGAAGAACGCAGCGAAAUGCGAUACGUAGUGUGAAUUGCAGAAAUACGUGAAUCAUCGAAUCUUUGAACGCAAAUUGCGCUCGAGGCUUCGGCCAAGAGCAUGCCUGCCUCAGCGUCGGGUUAAUACUCACUCGCUCACACACAUGUGUGAGAUGGAGUGGAUCUGGCUGUCCCGGAUUUUUAAAUAAAAUCCGGUCAGCUGAAGUAUGCAGAUGUCAAACCAUGGACCGUAACUUACGGGCCUCUACUGGGUAGGCAAAUUUUUGCAUGCUUUAGUAGAUGGCUUUUGGGUUCUGUGUUUGGCAGAAAACAGGAGUAUCUGCAUGUUCGGAUACCAAACCCUCUAUUUUCUCGACCUGAGCUCAGGCAAGA